CCAGUCGGACCGCAGCACGGGAGCAAUCCUGGUGGCGAGUGGCGAACGGGUGAGUAAUACAUCGGAAUGUCCUGGAGUGGGGGAUAGCCCGGCGAAAGCCGGAACCGCAUACGCUCUGUGGAGGAAAGCGGGGGAUCUUCGGACCUCGCGCUCAAGGCGGCCGAUGGCAGAUUGCUAGAUGGUGGGGUAAAGGCCUACCAAGACGAUCUGUAGCUGGUGAGAGGACGACCAGCCACACUGGGACUGAGACACGGCCCAGACUCCUACGGGAGGCAGCAGUGGGGAAUUUUGGACAAUGGGGGCAACCCUGAUCCAGCAAUGCCGGUGUGUGAAGAAGGCCUUCGGGUUGUUAAGCACUUUUGUCCGGAAAGAAAACUUCGCUCCUAAUACGGGUGGAGGAUGACGGUACCGGAAGAAUAAGCACCGGCUAACUACCUGCCAGCAGCCGCGGUAAUACGUAGGGUGCGAGCGUUAAUCGGAAUUAAUGGGCGUAAAGCGUGCGCAGGCGGUUCGCUAAGACCGAUGUGAAAUCCCCGGGCUUAACCUGGGAACUGCAUUGGUGAGGCGGGCUAGAGUAUGGCAGAGGGGGGUAGAAUUCCACGUGUAGCAGUGAAAUGCGUAGAGAUGUGGAGGAUACCGAUGGCGAAGGCAGCCCCCUGGGCCAAUACUGACGCUCAUGGACGAAAGCGUGGGGAGCAAACAGGAUAGAUACCCUGGUAGUCCACGCCCUAAACGAUGUCAACUAGUUGUCGGGUCUUCAUUGACUUUAACGUAGCUAACGCGUGAAGUUGACCGCCUGGGGAGUACGGUCGCAAGAUUAAAUCAAAGGAAUUGACGGGGACCCGCACAAGCGGUGGAUGAUUCGGAUUAAUUCGAUCACGCGAAAACCUUACCUACCCUUGACAUGUACGGAACCUUGCUGAGAGGUGAGGGUGCCCGAAAGGGAGCCGUAACACAGUGCUGCAUGGCUGUCGUCCUCGUGUCGUGAGAUGUUGGGUUAAGUCCCGAACGAGCGCAACCCUUGUCCCUAGUUGCUACGCAAGAGCACUCUAGGGAGACUGCCGGUGACAAACCGGAGGAAGGUGGGGAUGACGUCAAGUCCUCAUGGCCCUUAUGGGUAGGGCUUCACACGUCAUACAAUGCUCGGAACAGAGGGUUGCCAAGCCGCGAGGUGGAGCCAAUCCCAGAAAACCGAUCGUAGUCCGGAUCGCAGUCUGCAACUCGACUGCGUGAAGCGGAAUCGCUAGUAAUCGCGGAUCAGCAUGCCGCGGUGAAUACGUUCCCGGGUCUUGUACACCCGCCCGUCACACCAUGGGAGGGUUUUACCAGAAGUGGCGUCUAACCGCAAGAGGACGGUCACCACGUAGGAUUCA
rnacentral:rRNA from 1 species